rnacentral:rRNA from 1 species
GAUGAACGCUGGCGGCGUGCCUAAUACAUGCAAGUCGAGCGAACAGAUAAGGAGCUUGCUCCUUUGACGUUAGCGGCGGACGGGUGAGUAACACGUGGGUAACCUACCUAUAAGACUGGGAUAACUUCGGGAAACCGGAGCUAAUACCGGAUAACAUUUGGAACCGCAUGGUUCUAAAGUGAAAGAUGGUUUUGCUAUCACUUAUAGAUGGACCCGCGCCGUAUUAGCUAGUUGGUAAGGUAACGGCUUACCAAGGCGACGAUACGUAGCCGACCUGAGAGGGUGAUCGGCCACACUGGAACUGAGACACGGUCCAGACUACUACGGGAGGCAGCAGUAGGGAAUCUUCCGCAAUGGGCGAAAGCCUGACGGAGCAACGCCGCGUGAGUGAUGAAGGGUUUCGGCUCGUAAAACUCUGUUAUUAGGGAAGAACAAACGUGUAAGUAACUGUGCACGUCUUGACGGUACCUAAUCAGAAAGCCACGGCUAACUACGUG